GGACUUCGGUCCUGAGUAAAGUGGCGUACGGGUGAGUAACACGUGACUAACCUACCUCCGAGUGGGGAAUAACCUAGGGAAACCUGGGCUAAUACCGCAUAACACUUACGAGUCAAAGCAGCAAUGCGCUUGGAGAGGGGGUCGCGGCAGAUUAGCUAGUUGGCGGGGUAAUGGCCCACCAAGGCAAUGAUCUGUAUCCGGCCUGAGAGGGCGCACGGACACACUGGAACUGAAACACGGUCCAGACUCCUACGGGAGGCAGCAGUGGGGAAUUUUGCGCAAUGGGGGAAACCCUGACGCAGCAACGCCGCGUGGAGGAUGAAGUAUCUUGGUACGUAAACACCUUUCGAUGGGGAAGAUAAUGACGGUACCCAUAGAAGAAGCCCCGGCUAACUUCGUGCCAGCAGCCGCGGUAAUACGAGGGGGGCAAGCGUUGUUCGGAUUUAUUGGGCGUAAAGGGUGCGUAGGCGGUUUGGCAAGUUUGGUGUGAAAUCUUCGGGCUCAACUCGAAGUCUGCAUCAAAAACUGCCGGGCUUGAGUAUGGGAGAGGUGAGUGGAAUUUCCGGUGUAGCGGUGAAAUGCGUAGAUAUCGGAAGGAACACCUGUGGCGAAAGCGGCUCACUGGACCAUAACUGACGCUGAGGCACGAAAGCUAGGGGAGCAAACAGGAUUAGAUACCCUGGUAGUCCUAGCCCUAAACGAUGAUUGCUUGGUGUGGCAGGUACCC
rnacentral:rRNA from 1 species